GUGCCAGCCGCUGCGGUAAUACGGAGACUACGAGCGUUACUCGGAUUCACUGGGCGUAAAGGGAGCGCAGGCGGAACUAUGUGUUAGGUGUGAAAUCCCGGGGCUUAACUCCGGAAUUGCGCCUAAAACUAUGGUUCUAGAGUAUUGGAGAGGUAAGCGGAAUUUCUAGUGUAGCGGUAAAAUGCGCAGAUAUUAGAAGGAACACCGAAGGCGAAGGCAGCUUACUGGACAAUUACUGACGCUCAUGCUCGAAAGCGUGGGAGCGAAAGGGAUUAGAUACCCCUGUAGUCCACCGCCCUAAACGUUGUACACUAGGUAUUGGAGGCUUCAUCCCUUCAGUGCCCAAGCUAACGCGAUAAGUGUACCGCCUG
rnacentral:rRNA from 1 species